rnacentral:rRNA from 1 species
UACGAAGGGGGCUAGCGUUGUUCGGAAUUACUGGGCGUAAAGGGCGCGCAGGCGGUCCUUCAAGUCAGGCGUGAAAGCCCCGGGCUCAACCUGGGAAUAGCGCUUGAGACUGAGGGACUUGAGUUCGGGAGAGGAGAGCGGAAUUCCCAGUGUAGAGGUGAAAUUCGUAGAUAUUGGGAAGAACACCGGUGGCGAAGACGGCUCUCUGGACCGACACUGACGCUGAGGCGCGAAAGCGUGGGGAGCAAACAGG